AAUUUUCCGCAAUGGGCGAAAGCCUGACGGAGCAAUACCGCGUGAGGGAAGACGGCCUAUGGGUUGUAAACCUCUUUUUUCAGGGAGGAAUCAAUGACGUGUACCUGAAGAAUAAGCAUCGGCUAACUCCGUGCCAGCAGCCGCGGUAAGACGGAGGAUGCAAGUGUUAUCCGGAAUCACUGGGCGUAAAGCGUCUGUAGGUGGUUGAACAAGUCAACUGUUAAAUCUUGAGGCUUAACUUCAAAAUCGCAGUCGAAACUGUUUGACUAGAGUAUAGUAGGGGUAAAGGGAAUUUCCAGUGGAGUGGUGAAAUGCGUAGAUAUUGGAAAGAACACCGAUGGCGAAGGCACUUUACUGGGCUAUUACUGACACUCAGAGACGAAAGCUAGGGUAGCAAAUGGGAUUAGAUACCCCAGUAGUCCUAGCCGUA
rnacentral:rRNA from 1 species